GAGGGGGCCUGAUCACCCCCCUGGGAGGGACUAGAAGGAGCGGGGACCCACAGGAGCCUGGAAUAGGCAGGCGGCGAUUGCUUGGUACACAGGUCGACGAGCGUGCUAGGGUUUAGGAAGGAAAUUUGUGAAGGUCAUUUAGGAGGUGUGUCCAUGGCGUCUCGAGGAAAAUUAUUACCAAACUAUCGCCAGGGGAUUCUUAGGAUAGGAAACUGGUCCUUGUAUGCUCGUAUUCUGCCCUCCCCCAGGAGGUGUCCUGUCUGCUGUGAAAUUCUUGACCCCCUCGGAAUUGUUGGGCUAGAAGGAGGGGGAUACAGAAGUGAGUAUGAAUUGGCUUUUCCGGAGAUGGCCUGGGACAUGAGAUAUUUAACCCAUCUGUGUUUUCAUCCGCACCUGAUCAAGCCCACCAAGGCAGAAUGGACUUUAAGGGAGAAACAGUCUCGGACCAUGUGAUGUUCUGGUUCAGCUAUGCUGACUGGCAGGUGAAGACACGCUGAUCCCCCUUCUCCCUCUGGGAUCUGGCAGGAUUUGGACGGGGAUGACCUGACCCCUCCCCCAUGCUGGAUAAUGACACGCCUGCCUCCCAGUGCUUCACCAGGACCGGAGGCCGCCUUAAUGCCCUAUCCAGGGCCAGGUGAAGUUUCUGCAACAGCCACUGCUCCUCUGCCAGCUUUCCCGGAGUUCAUAGAGCCGCCGUUUGGGCAGGCUCCAAUCCCGGUGACAGAAGCCUCUGGCCAACACUUCCAGGAUCCGGCUCCACCCGAACCGCCCAAGCUAUACCCGCCUCUCCCGGUGAGUACUGACAAGAGGGGGAGGGAGACGUUGGAAUUAAGCAGAGACCGCGCCCUGCCAGAGAGCUGGAGGGAACGAAAGAGAACAGACAAGAGACUUACAGUGCAAGCUGCUGCUCUGGGAAAGUCUAACUCGGGCCCUCCAGAAAACCUCAUCUGCCCCAGGGACAGGACAGUCCUUCAGCCGGUCCCAAGGGAGGCCCUGGGCCCGUUACAGCCAAACCAGUGUGCCCGGCGCCGAGCUUUUGGCCACUGGAAGAAGAGGAAGCUCCCGCAGUUGUGGGGCUUGCUGACCUGAAAAUUAACUAGGGCUGCCAGGGCUCAGAGAUACCAGGUCCCUGAGAGCCCAUGGUAACCGUAAAAGUGGGGGACCAAAACAUUGACUUCGUGGUGGAUACAGGAGAACUGUCGGUAGUAACAAAACCUGUGGCACCUCUGUCCACAAGACUACCGCUGUAACUGGGGUAUCGGGAGAAGAGAUGAUUAAAUCGUUUUGCCAGCCCAGAAAAUGUCAGAUGGGGGGGGGGGGGGGGGGGCGGGGCACCAAGUGAUUCAUGAAUUCCUCUACAUUCCUGAGUGCCCAGUACCCCUGUUGGGAAGAGACUUGUUCUCCAAACUAGGAGCACAAGUGACUUUCUCCCCUGAGAGAGGCCCACCUUCUGGACGGACUCUGUGACUUAUUUGCCCUCUCUCUCAAUACCAACCCAAGAUGAGUGGAGGUUGCAUGAGCCUCUGAAGGCAGAACCGGGUGGGCUAGAAGAGCAUGAGGGAGCUAACUCAAUUAUUCCCUGAGGUCUGGGUGGAAGACAACCCCUCCUCCCCCCAGGCUGGCUAAACAUCAUGCCCCAGUGAUAAUGGAACUCAAACCAGGUACCAUCCCGGUUAGAGGGUGCCAGUACCCGCUACGGAUGGAGGCCUGAACCGGCAUAUUGCCCUACAUCAAUAGAUUGAAACAAGCAGGCAUUCUGGUAGAGUGCCAGUCGGCUUGGAAUACGCCAAUCCUGCCAGUCAAAAGGGAAGGAGGACAGGACUAUAGGCCUGUACAAGAUCUCAGGCUAGUCAACCAGGCUACUGUGACUUUACACGCCACUGUUCCAAACCCCUAUACCUUACUUAGCCUCCUCCCACCGAGGACUAAAGUUUACACUUGCCUAGAUCUCAAGGAUGCCUUCUGCAUAUGCCUCGCCCCAACGUCACAACCCAUCUUUGCCUUUGAAUGGGAAGAUCCAGUGGGGAGCACCAAACAACAGCUCAUCUGGACUCCCCCACAAGGGUUUAAAAACUUCCCAGCCAUCUUUGGGGAAGCCUUGGCUUCUGAUCUGGACUCAUUCCAUCCGGAAGAGUAUGGAUGUCAGCUCCUACAAUAGGGGGAUGACCUGCUGCUGGCUGCCUGAGACCCAAGGAAAAAUGCUGGAAAGGGACAAAUGCACUGCUCCAGCUGUUGAUGGAAGGUUACCGGGUGUCGAAGAAGAAGGCACAGAUCUACAAAGAGGAGUUAAAGUUGCAGGUAUUGUCCCUUGAUUCAUCACACCAGAGCAAAGAAGGCAUACCAUGCUGACCCGGAGGACGCCGAGUGGACCACCCAGAAGGACCCCACCGACCCACGGGAAACCAAGAUCAUUCUGAGGAGGAAGAAGAAAACUAGGUCCCAGACGAGCCCUCUACAGGAUGGAGCUGGGUAAACGACUCCUGCUGCUCGGCCUCACCAAUGCAAUUCUGAACUUGGGUAUGUGGGGCUAUGCCCCUGUCAGUAAUAGACAGACUCCCCUGGUGGGUAUCGUCACUCCGUUAUGGGGACUUUAACAACAGAAAGGAACUUUCCUGUCUCUCACCAACCAUAACCUUUCUUUGCCCUCUGGUGUUAGAAGAAGCCAUCAAUGGGCCAGGGACAUAGGGUUACAUUAACAUGAAUACCAGCCUUAUGGAGAUAACAAAGGCUUAUACCUCAUAUAUGAGAAUUAAGGAGGAAAAGGGCUCCCUUACAAAAGGGGGACAGGCCUCCCGGUGCCUUGAGCAAUACUACCAGGUCUGGGAUGAAUAUUUCUGGAUGACUCCUGAGAAAGGACAGUUGAUUGCCCCUGCUACUAUUUGCUGGGAACAAAAAGAACAGAAAGUUGGAUUUGGAGACCAUCCCCUAGACCCAAAAGAAUUGUUAUUUGUGCCCUGAACAAUGUAAACAAAUCUUGGAAGUUACCUAUCACCCCAAUCAGUCUGCUCAGUGGCCCGGUUCCGACUGGAAAUAUAAUCCUGGAAUCAGCUGGGUAGCCCCCAGUGGGACCCAGUGGCUCUGUGGGCUUAACUUAUGGCCAUGGUUACCAGUUGGCUGGGUGCGGCGUUGCACAUUAGGAUUUGCUUUCGCCCAUGGCAGAAUUAAGCCUAGCCUAUACCAGCCUCCAGUAAACCUGCCUUAUCUGCAUGCAAGAUGGACACGAUCUGUGUUCCAAUGGUAUGACUAUGUUGCUGCCUUGUUGCUGCUUUGUGGGCCCUGCUUCCUACAAUGCCUCGUGAAUUUUGUAACCCAGAGGUUGAUAGCAUUCUCUCAUGUGGGUGGCAGGAGGGCUAAGGUACAAUAUAUCUCAAUAAAUGAUGCUCGUUAUGUAAACUAAGAGCAUCAAGAGGGGGUAAUGAAGAAGGAAUUCAUAGGGCCUGGACUCCAUCUCAGGCCUGUCUGUGCUGAUCGUGCGCGGCCACCUCUCCAGUGGACUCUGAACUCUCUGCUUAGUGCCUGUGGGAAUGACAAUGGAAGGAUAAGACCCCCCUCUGGGCAGGGGAAUGUUGAAGAAGAGAAAACAGACACUAAUCACCCCUGCCUCCGGACACUAUCUAUAAGAAUGUAAGCACAGGCUUAUCGGUUAUUAACUAUUUGGAAUGUAACUGCGGGCUUAUUGAUUAUUGACUGUUUGAACACAUAACACGUGAAUGAUGGGGUUAUUGUAGUUGUAUUUACCCUUCCUUUGUUUAUGUAAGUUUCAAGGUAGUGGGUUUGGACGCGUACA